GAUGAACGCUGGCGGCGUGCUUAACACAUGCAAGUCGAACGAAGCAUUUAAGACAGAUUCCUUCGGUUUGAAGUCUUUUAUGACUGAGUGGCGGGCGGGUGAGUAACGCGUGGGUAACCUGCCUCAUACAGGGGGAUAGCAGCUGGAAACGGCUGGUAAUACCGCAUAAGCGCACAGUACCACAUGGUACAGUGUGAAAAACUCCGGUGGUAUGAGAUGGACCCGCGUCUGAUUAGCUUGUUGGCGGGGUAACGGCCCACCAAGGCGACGAUCAGUAGCCGACCUGAGAGGGUGACCGGCCACAUUGGGACUGAGACACGGCCCAGACUCCUACGGGAGGCAGCAGUGGGGAAUAUUGCACAAUGGAGGAAACUCUGAUGCAGCGACGCCGCGUGAGUGAAGAAGUAGUUCGCUAUGUAAAGCUCUAUCAGCAGGGAAGAUAGUGACGGUACCUGACGAAGAAGCUCCGGCUAAAUACGUG
rnacentral:rRNA from 1 species